GUAACGGAGGAGCACGAAGGUUGGCUAAUCCUGGUCGGACAUCAGGAGGUUAGUGCAAUGGCAUAAGCCAGCUUGACUGCGAGCGUGACGGCGCGAGCAGGUGCGAAAGCAGGUCAUAGUGAUCCGGUGGUUCUGAAUGGAAGGGCCAUCGCUCAACGGAUAAAAGGUACUCCGGGGAUAACAGGCUGAUACCGCCCAAGAGUUCAUAUCGACGGCGGUGUUUGGCACCUCGAUGUCGGCUCAUCACAUCCUGGGGCUGAAGUAGGUCCCAAGGGUAUGGCUGUUCGCCAUUUAAAGUGGUACGCGAGCUGGGUUUAGAACGUCGUGAGACAGUUCGGUCCCUAUCUGCCGUGGGCGCUGGAGAACUGAGGGGGGCUGCUCCUAGUACGAGAGGACCGGAGUGGACGCAUCACUGGUGUUCGGGUUGUCAUGCCAAUGGCACUGCCCGGUAGCUAAAUGCGGAAGAGAUAAGUGCUGAAAGCAUCUAAGCACGAAACUUGCCCCGAGAUGAGUUCUCCCUGACUCCUUGAGAGUCCUGAAGGAACGUUGAAGACGACGACGUUGAUAGGCCGGGUGUGUAAGCGCAGCGAUGCGUUGAGCUAACCGGUACUAAUGAACCGUGAGG
rnacentral:rRNA from 1 species